AUGGAUGGGAUGAAGUAUAAAACCAUAUUGCUGAAGAACAAGACCACAAAGGGACCAUACUUCUGGGCUGUCCUGGGAAUCUGUAGAGCCUUCAGGGAGGAACAGGAAAGAGCAGCAGCUUGGUGUAUUCUUCAGCUGAUGAACAUCUGCUGCUGGAGAGAGAAUCUUGAACGUAUGCCACCCACCAAGCUCAGAAUUAAACCGAGCAGGAUUCUAAAGGUCAAAUCUGAAGGAGACAUGGAAGCUACGGAACUUUCCUCUGGCUAGGCCCCUAUUUUUUUCCAGCACUUAAGCUCUGCUUGCCUGUCUGCACUGUGAAUAGUCUUAUUGAUUUCAGUGGGAUUAUUUAUAGUACAUGAAGUUAAAUCAUGAGUGAGCUUUGCAGGAUUGGGAACUUCAGAGGCAACUGGCAGAUUUAAAGCACAUUAUUCCAAGAUGCAUCGAAGAGUUCUCCGUGUUAGGUUAAGUGUGCCUUAUUACACGAAACUAAUCUCCUAGUUAUAACUAAUCUCAUGGAGCUUGAUUCUGUUCAUCCUCCUUUCAGUAAGUGCAAAGUCAUUCCCUGAAUCAAGUGGCUAUUAUGUAACUAUCAACGGAAGGUUUACAGGAUAGGCCCAGCCUAUGAAUCAGAUUAGUCCUCCUGAAACCCGUGAAGUUACAGCUGUUUGCAGUGACUAAGGAUCUGGCCCAUAAACUUCACUGGAAAGCUUUCUUUUGCAUGGCAGUAUAAUUAGUGUGAAAGAGUUAUUUCCAAGGGUUGUUACUAACUGAAAAUGAAUACUCACCAGAGUGUCGUUAGCAUAAUAGCAGAGUCGUUUCUUGAGGGCACUGAAAAUCGAAACACUCUGUGCCAUUUACAUUGCUCAGCAGGACCAUUAAUAUAUUGUUUGUUUCCCG
rnacentral:lncRNA from 1 species